rnacentral:rRNA from 1 species
GACAGAGGGGGCAAGCGCUGUCGGGAGUUACUGGGCGUAAAGGGCGCGGAGGCGGUCUGCAGCGUCGGCGCUGAAAGCGCCCCGCUUAACGGGACGAGGCGUGCCGAUACGCGCAGGCUCGAGGCGAGCAGAGGGAGGCGGAAUUCCGGGUGGAGGGGUGAAAUGCGUAGAGAUCCGGAGGAACGCCAGUGGGGGAGACGGCCACCUGGGCUCGACCUGACGCUGCGGCGCGACAGCGUGGGGAGCAAACCGG